GCUGGGUGCGGUGGCACACACCUGUAAUUCCAGCAGCUCAGGAGGCUGAGACAGGAGGAUUGCAAGUUCAAAGCCAGCCUCAGCAACUUAUCGAGGCACAAAGCAACUCAGUGAGACCCUGUCUCUA
rnacentral:sRNA from 1 species